rnacentral:rRNA from 1 species
CAUCUUUUCUUGUUAGUUUUUGAAGUAUGGCCUGCCCACUGACUUAGAGUUGAAGGGCCGCGGUAUUUUGACCGUGCAAAGGUAGCAUAAUCAUUAGUUCUUUAAUUGUGAUCUGGUAUGAAUGGCUUGACGAGGCAUAAGCUGUCUUAGAGGUAUUGGUUUAUUGAAUUUGGUUUUUGAGUUAAAAUUCUUAAAUGUUUUUAUGGGACGAGAAGACCCUAUAGAGUUUGACAAUUUUCCUAUUUAUUCGUUGUUUGUGUUUAUUUACAUUGAGUGGGAGUGAAUUGUUUUGUUGGGGUGAUGGGAGGAAUAUUAUUUAACUCCUCUUUGUUUUUAUAUAUUUAUGUAUAUAUUUUUGAUCCAUUUAUUUUGAUUAUAAGAUUAAAUUACCUUA